rnacentral:rRNA from 1 species
UACGUAGGGCGCGAGCGUUGUCCGGAAUUAUUGGGCGUAAAGAGCUCGUAGGCGGCCUGUUGCGUCCGCUGUGAAAUCCCGGGGCUCAACCCCGGGCUUGCAGUGGAUACGGGCUGGCUAGAGGCAGGCAGGGGAGAACGGAAUUCCCGGUGUAGCGGUGAAAUGCGCAGAUAUCAGGAAGAACACCCGUGGCUAAGGCGGCUCUCUAGUACGGUACUGACGCUGAGACGCGAAAGCGUGGGGAGCGAACAGG